rnacentral:rRNA from 1 species
UACGGAGGGGGCUAGCGUUGUUCGGAAUUACUGGGCGUAAAGCGCACGUAGGCGGCUUUGUAAGUUAGAGGUGAAAGCCCGGGGCUCAACUCCGGAAUUGCCUUUAAGACUGCAUCGCUCGAAUUGUGGAGAGGUAAGUGGAAUUCCGAGUGUAGAGGUGAAAUUCGUAGAUAUUCGGAAGAACACCAGUGGCGAAGGCGGCUCACUGGCCCGGUACUGACGCUGAGGUGCGAAAGCGUGGGGAGCAAACAGG